rnacentral:tRNA from 1 species
GACUUCGUGGUGUAGUGGUUUGCAUUCUGGGCCCUUAUUCCAGAGGUCCGUGGUUCGAUUCCCUGCGAAGGCG